UUUCGUGUGUACACUGCAAAUACUCAAAAUAUUAUCGGUACAGAAGGAAAAAAAAUCAUAAAGCUAUGUCUUAAAGAAAAAGAAGUUCACCGACAGUUUCCUCCUUACAUCUCCAGAACGGAUCGUUUUUAAACCCCUUUCUAUUUCUGAUGUUGCUGAGAUAAAAACAAUCGAUAAACAUGUAUUAGAUCGGAGAUAACAAAGAUAUCAAAAGGAUUUUAAGAUCAGAGUCUAUCGAUUCAAAUCCUGUUAAGUCAGAUUAUAUUAAACAACUUUAUAGAUAAAGUAAAUAUUUGCUAACAUCCCUUCCGUUGGGGAUAGUUGGGAAUGUGGCUGCCCAGAUACCAGAGUUAUCAAAAAAAAAAAAAAAAAAAAAUAUAACAGAUGGUUUUAGCUGGAGAUCUUUGGAUUAUACGAUCAGAGUUACUGGUCUAAAAUUUCCAGAUUCAGAUCAUGUUAAGUCGGAAUAAGAACAAAAUCUUAUUUAGAAUCAACGAAUGAUAAGACCCAUUCAAUAAGAGUUCUUUUCCAAGUUCAAAUUAAAGAUAUACAUAUUCAGAACCUGUCAUCGCGAUGGGUUGAAUCAGUGAUUUUAGUUGUCUACAGAAAAGCUAUUUGGUAUUUAUGAUCAGUUGGUCUGAAGGCACCACCAGCACAAGAAACACUGAAAUGAUCAAUGUUUCUCCACGCUCUAACACAGACAUGUUUUGCAACUUCAGGAAGGACUUUCAUAUUGGAGCCGAAGACAUGUAAUGGUAAAGAUAUUGCUGCAUUGUCCAUUCUCCACUAAAUAAUGUCGAACAGAUACAUACGUACAUCUAGUAUAAUGUAAAGUGAUACAUUAAAGUAUAUAAAGCAAAUAUUGUGGGGC